AAUCAAACAUUGACAGUGCCAUAGUAGCUAGUAUAGUAUUUUUUGCACAAGAUGCAUGGGGUAUUCACAAACAUCUUAUGGUAUAUAGAAUUUGUCGCAUUUGCUGUAAUAUUGAUCAUUUUUUUCUGCUUGAUUUUGUAUUUAGCCAAUUUGAAUUACAUUUCCUACAAUCUCCGAUACGACAUGAGGAAAAAAUACAUGGCUGAUGGCACUUGGUUGAUUCAGAAUUAAUGAAUAAUUUGGAUAGGAAAAAACAAAUAAUAUUUCUUCAUCAAUAUGCCAGGAAAAAGCCGAUACCACAAAUUCCAGAGCCUUACCAACGGCCAGUGUGUUACGACCUCGGCUGCAUUUGGUUUUGUCGAUUAAUGAGCUGUAUAGUCACUAUAGCUGUAUGUUACUAUUUUGCCUAUUCCUUAAUUACUAACACCAAACUCAAGUUCGGUAUGU
rnacentral:lncRNA from 1 species